UACAGAGGUCCCAAGCGUUGUUCGGAUCCAUUGGGCGUAAAGGGUGCGUAGGCGGCGCGGUAAGUCGGGUGUGAAAUCUCGGAGCUUAACUCCGAAACUGCAUUCGAUACUGCCGUGCUUGAGGACUGGAGAGGAGACUGGAAUUUACGGUGUAGCGGUGAAAUGCGUAGAUAUCGUAAGGAAGACCAGUGGCGAAGGCGGGUCUCUGGACAGUUCCUGACGCUGAGGCACGAAGGCCAGGGGAGCAAACGGG
rnacentral:rRNA from 1 species